AGUCUGCUGUCAAACACUGUCAAAAGCAGUGGAAUGUCAAAUGUACUCAAUUAUCAAUAUAGUGUACUUCAGUUUCAAAUAUACAUUAAAUUUACCACCGAUCAAGUAAAAAUAAGACUAUUUUUGGAACAUGUAUGAAAAUAAUCCUUUCAGCUUAUCUAUUUACUAUUUAUAGCUUAUUCUAUCAUGUAUUAGUAUGUACAUAAUGAUUUUAUAUGACCGCUGUUAAAGUAUACUUUAUUACGACAAUGUAAUUCUUUAUUAAACUGAGUAUUGUAGUUAUAAGCACGGAAAAUAAUUCCUUAUUAAAUUCGAAAUGAUUUGGAAAUCAUUGAUGCCAUCUCUUUCUCUUCUUUUGUCGAAAAAUGUAACAAUUAGAACUUUAGUAUUGGCCGCUGACGGUAAUACUUCCAAAAGAAAAUACAGAGCAAUAGACUCCGCAAAAUCAUUAACAGCUGUAUCAUACGGAUAUAAGGCAUCUUCAAAACAAAAUGGUACUGAUGAAUCUAAGGCCAAAAUUAUAUUGCAACUCAAUUUUAAAUCAGAUGAGGAUGCUUUACCAUUUCAAAAUUUACCAAUAACAACAUUAAAACAUGUUCUACAUGUAACUGCAAUUGACAAAAAAAAUGGUUAUUGUGAAAACAGACUUUACUAUAUAGCAUCUCGAAUUAAGUGUCCUCCAAAUGUCCUCAGUGAGCAGCUGGCAAAAAGGAUAUUUGUUUAUUCCUUGACAUUUGACUGGCUCAAGAGAUCAUUAGAUGUAUUAUUGGAAAUGAACGUAUCUGGUGAGAGAAUAUUGAGGGAUUUGUGGGUCCUCAAAUACCAUCAUGAGACAAUCCAGAAAAGACUUACAAAAGUCCGAAGCAUGGGAGUGGAUGUAUUAUAUCCUUGGAUGGUGAGAUGUUCCGAGAACAUUUUAAAUAGAUCAAUCCAAUUAUCACAAGAGACAAAGGAUAUUCUUGGAGAGACAAAAAAUACCCAAAUUUAUUUAGCCAAUCGCUUAAAUACAACACUGGAAGCUGUUGAAGAAAUGUCUAUUAAAAUGCCUGCACUGAAGACCAUGAGGGUUAUUAAGGUAAAGAAUUUUUUAGAUUUUCUUUUGGCAGAGGGCUUUACAGUUGAAGAUAUAGCAAGUAAGCCAAGAGUGUUAUCUGCUUCACAAAAAACAGUACACCAAAGAUUAGAGAAGUUACGCAAAUUAGGUUUAACUCAAAUAAAUUUGAAUGUACUAUGCAGAGGCAGAAAGGGUUUUAAAAAGUAUUGCGAUUCAAUAGAGAACAUUACUAAAAAUUUUAUAGCAGUUAAGAUGGCUAACCUUGUUACUCUAUCUUAUAAAUUCACUGUGCAUCCCGUCACAAGAUGAGAAUCUAAAGAAAUAAUUAAUUACUGUGCAUAUACAAUCUGAGACUAAAAUUAACUGAGAAUACAUGACAUCGAAAAACAAACAUAGUAAUAGUAUUACAGCAAAUGUUAAUAAUUUAUUAAAUAUAAUAAUAAGCUUACUGAAGUUAAAAAAUAACUGUUUUAAGCAAUAAAUUAUUGUUGAAUUACUUAUA
rnacentral:misc_RNA from 1 species